GACGUAGGGCGCGAGCGUUGUCCGGAUUUAUUGGGCGUAAAGAGCUCGUAGGCGGUUUGUCGCGUCGAAUGUGAAAACCCGGGGCUCAACCCCGGGCCUGCAUUCGAUACGGGCAGACUAGAGUUCGGUAGGGGAGUCUGGAAUUCCUGGUGUAGCGGUGAAAUGCGCAGAUAUCAGGAGGAACACCGGUGGCGAAGGCGGUUCUCUGGGCCUUACCUGACGCUGAGGAGCGAAAGCGUGGGGGAGCGAACAGG
rnacentral:rRNA from 1 species